rnacentral:tRNA from 1 species
GCCUCUGUAGUUCAGUCUGGUAGAUGUCAGCGAAGCUGACUCUGGGCAAUUAGAAUGGCUGCCUCGUAAGCAGCAGGUCGGGAGUUCAAAUCUCCUCAGAGGCU